rnacentral:rRNA from 1 species
GUGUCAGCAGCCGCGGUCCCCCCUUCCUCUCGCGUGGUAGCCGCGUUUAUUGGGCCUAAAGCGUCCGUAGCCGGUCCGAUAAGUCUCUGGUGAAAGCCCACAGCUCAACUGUGGGAAUCGCUGGAGAUACUAUCGGACUUGAGGCCGGGAGAGGCUGGAGGUACUCCCAGGGUAGGGGUGAAAUCCUAUAAUCCUGGGAGGACCACCUGUGGCGAAGGCGUCCAGCUGGAACGGACCUGACGGUGAGGGACGAAAGCCAGGGGCGCGAACCGGAUUAGAUACCCGGGUAGUCCUGGCCGUAAACGAUGCGGACUUGGUGUUGGGACGGCUUUGAGCUGUCCCAGUGCCGAAGGGAAGCUGUUAAGUCCGCCGCCUGGGGAGUACGGCCGCAAGGCUGAAACUUAAAGGAAUUGACGG